CAAACAUCAAGUCAAAAUAUCUAUAUAUCGUUGUAAUAUGGUCAACAGUCUCUACCCAGAACCGUUAAUUCUGGACUAUAGGUAAUUGGAAGUCAGUU
rnacentral:ncRNA from 2 species